CUUAUUUCCUUACUAUAUAUAAAAUAUAUAUUUACUUGGAAUUCAAAUUGCGCGCAUACGCGCGCGCUUUAAUCCUAACCAAUAAGGAAUCAGUAACCAUUCUUUCAAGAUUUUUG